AUUGAACGCUGGCGGCAGGCCUAACACAUGCAAGUCGAGCGGAUGAAGGGAGCUUGCUCUCUGAUUCAGCGGCGGACGGGUGAGUAAUGCCUAGGAAUCUGCCUAUUAGUGGGGGACAACGUUUCGAAAGGAACGCUAAUACCGCAUACGUCCUACGGGAGAAAGCAGGGGACCUUCGGGCCUUGCGCUAAUAGAUGAGCCUAGGUCGGAUUAGCUUGUUGGUGAGGUAACGGCUCACCAAGGCUGCGAUCCGUAACUGGUCUGAGAGGAUGAUCAGUCACACUGGAACUGAGACACGGUCCAGACUCCUACGGGAGGCAGCAGUGGGGAAUAUUGGACAAUGGGCGAAAGCCUGAUCCAGCCAUGCCGCGUGUGUGAAGAAGGUCUUCGGAUUGUAAAGCACUUUAAGUUGGGAGGAAGGGCAUUAACCUAAUACGUUAGUGUUUUGACGUACCGACAGAAUAAGCACCGGCUAACUUCGUGCCAGCAGCCGCGGUAACAC
rnacentral:rRNA from 1 species